GACGAACGCUGGCGGCGUGCUUAACACAUGCAAGUCGAACGAAGUGGCGAACGGGUGAGUAACGCGUAAUCAACCUGCCCUUCAGAGGGGGACAACAGAUGGAAACGAUUGCUAUUACCGCAUACUGAAGGAGGGGAUUGGGUCUGAUUAGCGAGUUGGAGGGGUAGCGUCCCAACAAGGCGAUGAUCAGUAGCCGGUCUGAGAGGAUGAGCGGCCAAAUUGGGACUGAGACACGGCCCAGACUCCUACGGGAGUCAGCAGUAGGGAAACUUCCGCAAUGGACGAAAGUCUGUCGGAGCAACGCCGCGUGAGUGAUGACGGCCUUCGGGUUGUAAAGCUCUGUUAAUCGGGACGCGGUACCGGAAUAGAAAGCCACGGCUAACUACGUGCCAGCAGCCGCGGUAAUUC
rnacentral:rRNA from 1 species